rnacentral:rRNA from 1 species
UUCCAGACUCCUACGGGAGGCAGCAGUGGGGGAUAUUGCACAAUGGGGGGAACCCUGAUGCAGCGACGCCGCGUGGGUGAAGAAGUCUUUCGGUAUGUAAAGCCCUAUCGGCAGGGAAGAAAUUGGACGGUACCUGACUAAGAAGCCCCGGCUAACUACGUGCCAGCAGCCGCGGUAAUACGUAGGGGGCAAGCGUUAUCCGGAUUUACUGGGUGUAAAGGGGGCGCAGACGGCGAUGCAAGCCAGGAGUGAAAGCCCGGGGCCCAACCCCGGGACUGCUCUUGGAACUGCGUGGCUGGAGUGCAGGAGGGGCAGGCGGAAUUCCUGGUGUAGCGGUGAAAUGCGUAGAUAUCAGGAGGAACACCGGUGGCGAAGGCGGCCUGCUGGACUGCAACUGACGUUGAGGCCCGAAAGUGUGGGGAGCAAACAGGAUUAGAUACCCGGGUAA